UUCAUCUUCAUCCUGAGUACAUGUAAACUGCGUUAAUAGCAAUGUAUCGCAUGUCACCUCGUUGGAAUCAAACGGAUCCUCCACUGUUGUUGAUACAGUAUUAGAUUAUUAGAGCACGACCGGCCUCGACAAUGUGUACAUGGCAGAGAACAAAACAGUUCGGCUUUUUUGCAACCACAUUUAGCACUGCACCCCUUUCUGCAGUUGCAAAAAAUUGUGUUCAACAAUUUUUUCGGCGCAGGUGAAAGUAAAGUUUGGAGUGGUUUUAAUGAAUUGUUGACCAACUUCCAAUCCCAAUCUGUAGGGUCUAGCUGAUAACCAAAAGCCACACUUGAAAUUGGUAAUAUACCCGAAAAAGAUGUAGAUGAGAAGCAACUGAGAUUAGAGGAAGACAAGCAGUAACAUUAUCAAGUCACAACCCUAUAGAGAGAUGCUAGGGAUUAAGAUUCCAAUUAUAAAUAUAAUAAGUACGUUAUUCCAACUCAUGUUUUUUAUGUACCGUUACAAAAAUAUUUUUGAACAAUUUAUAGCUCAAGACUUUUUAAUACUAUUCAUCUAAGAGGAAUAUAUUGGAAAAUAUGGAAAAAACCUUUUGAAUUUACCUAUUUCAUUGGGAGAAUGCCAGGGAUUAAGAAUCCCAUGUGAGUACAAUAAUGUGAUUAAAAGUUUUGGUCCA